rnacentral:rRNA from 1 species
GGUUAAGUUAUGAAGGGCGCAUGGUGAAUGCCUUGGUACUAGGAGCCGAUGAAGGACGGGACUAACACCGAUAUGCUUCGGGGAGCGGUAAGUACGCUUUGAUCCGGAGAUUUCCGAAUGGGGAAACCCUAUCAUCUUAGUCGAUGAUUG